rnacentral:rRNA from 1 species
UACGAAGGGGGCUAGCGUUGCUCGGAAUCACUGGGCGUAAAGGGUGCGUAGGCGGGUCUUUAAGUCAGGGGUGAAAUCCUGGAGCUCAACUCCAGAACUGCCUUUGAUACUGAAGAUCUUGAGUUCGGGAGAGGUGAGUGGAACUGCGAGUGUAGAGGUGAAAUUCGUAGAUAUUCGCAAGAACACCAGUGGCGAAGGCGGCUCACUGGCCCGAUACUGACGCUGAGGUGCGAAAGCAUGGGGAGCGAACAGG